rnacentral:lncRNA from 1 species
CCCAGCAUCUACCAAUCUUUGACCAUCAACACUUAGAAGUAAAUGACCUGCUUCAGUGACUUCUCAUACUCCAUCACUUUCCAAAUAACAUGUAAAACCCAUAGCUCCUGCAGCAUUUGAGGAUAUAUGCCAAGCACUAUAAAGAUGUGCAGUAUGAGGAAGCAUCCUGGUUUCUCUUGCACUGGCCAAUGGAACAUUGUGGUGAGGCUGAGGGGAAGCAAAGGUCAUCUGUCUCUGGCACAGUUAUGGGCUGCAGUGGUCAUCAGACUGACCCUCAUUUACCUAGAGAUUGAGAAAUUCAAAGGCAAAUAUUUCCACAGUGAGAAAUAUAAAAUUUAGAGGGAUUUAUGGGAAACAGAAUCCUCAUGACUGGCAUUGGAAAUUCUGGCUCUGAUCUGGCUGUGGUGCUCAGCCACACUGCAAAGCAAGCCUAUUUUCUUACCUUAGCGACAACCUUCCCAAAACAUCCAUUUCUGUCAGAAUAAUGAUCAAACCCAAUGUGAAAGAAUUCACGGAAAUAGCUGCCACUUUUUAACACCGUAGCACUGUGGAGAAUGUUGAUGUCAUCUUUGCCAAAUAACACACCUUCUCAUUUCCUUUCUUUGAAGAUUCUGUGAAUAUCACUGAUAACCAGAUAUUCCUAUACAAUUAGGUAUUCCCACUUCAUGUGGAAAAAGUGACUUUGGUUGUUGUUGUUAAUGCAGCCAUCGGGAGCUGUAAUGCCAACAAGGAAAUUCCAAACUCUCUGGGCCACCUGAGUGUUAAAAG